rnacentral:rRNA from 1 species
AACGAACGCUGGCGGCGUGGAUUAGGCAUGCAAGUCGAGCGAGAAAGGGAGCAAUCCCUGAGUAAAGCGGCGAACUGGUGAGUAACAGGUGGGCAACGUGCCUCAAAGUGGGGACGAACUCCGAGAAAUACGGAGCUAAUACCGCAUGUGGUGUCAAGGGCUUUGGCUCCUGACAUUAAAGGCGCAAUCGCAAGGUUGUGGUCGCUUUGGGAU